GAGAUUGGAAGAAGAAAUGAAAAGGUAGAAGAAAAGAUCUCUCUUAACCUAUCUCCAAGUGGGUUAAAUAGUUCUGGUAGCUGACUUCAUUACAUCUAUAAAAAGGCCAUCUCCACACUGUGUAGAGAUUCUUUACCAUUUAUGGAAGCAGCCCUCAUCCCUUCCAUAAUUUUCCCAGGGUCCCAUAUAGUUUGACUGGCAACACAGGAUCUUGUCUAGCGACAGUUUUCUAGCCAAUCUUGAUUCAUAAGUUUCUUUAAGUCUAGAGUUGGAAGAGACCUUAGAAGUCACAGAAGAAACUAAGACCCAGAAAUCUAGGUGACUUCCUCAGGGUCAUCCAUUAAGUUUGAACUCAGGUCUUCUAACACCAAGAUUAGAUCUCUUUCCAAUUGGAUGAUUCCAGUUGGCAGUAGAACAACAAAAUGAUUUUUUUCCUUACGAAAUUCUUGUAUAUUUGUGGGAAAUCUUUGAAUAAAAUCCGGUAUAAAGCUCCUCCAGUUGAGGAGAAGUCAGCAAUGACUGCAAGUUGUGGCUAAGUUCCUGACAUUUUGAUCUCAUUCUCUUCUUGAGGAAAUGGAAUAGUUAUUGUGGCAUAAGGUUCUCCUAUCAUAUGAGACUUCCUACAGGGGAAGAUAGCUUAUUUACUCUUUUAUAAAAAGGAAACAAUUAGUCCCUUCUAUUGUUAUCUUCAACUCUAGAUCAGAGUUUUUAAACUGGGUUCAUAAAUCUAGUGAGGUUUCUUAAUUGAUAAUGGAUUUGAAUACAAUUGGUUUCCUUGACAAUCCUCUGUAUUUUAUUUUAUGCUCUUAAAAAUGUUUUUCCAAGAAAGAAAGCCAUAGGCUUUGCCAGAUUCCCCAAAAAGUCUACCAUAUAACAAAUGAUUAAGAACUUUUACUAUAGCUUUACUUGAUUUGGUCUAGCCUCUAAUCCCUCUUUUCCCAAUCCUUCUUGGAAUAUAUCAUUUUUUGGACUUGGGAUCUGAAUAUCAUUGGUGUGAAGAAUUCCUUCCCCAGAUGCAGACAACUAACUUAAAUGUAUAAUCUUUAAAAGUUGUCUGUGGGCACAGAAGGGCUAAGUGCCUUACUCAUAGUCACAUAGCCAAUAGGUUCUAAAGGCAGGGCUGUGUCCAUAUCUUCUUAAUAUCAAGGUGUAUAAACUCUAGUAUACUUUUUCAGCACAGGACCUACAAAAAUCAAGCCAGACAUAAUAUUGUUACAGAAAAAUAACUGAAAAAUAGCCUGACCAUCCUGGCAACGAACUAUUCAUGUUACUCCAGCACUUUAUUAAUCCUGUGAGAUAAUUCUUUUAGUAUCAUUACUUCCACCCCCAUUUUAUAGAUGAUGAAACUGAGACUCGAAUAUUAAGUUGACUUUUCCAGGUCUCACCUAGCUCCAAAUUCAAUGGGAUUUCCGAUGUAAUACAGCAACAAAUAAUUCUGAAUAAGUAACAAAGUUUGUGCUUUUCUGAAGGGUGGAUUAUACCCAGUUACAAGCAAUUUCUGUGGCUAAAACCUAUGUGAAUUUUUAUGUAUGCAAGACAUUGGAAAGGUUCUUUGACAAAUACGGUCUUUGUAAUUAUAUCCUAAUACCAACACUAUCUACAUCAUCUUAAAACAUGGAGGACCAUCUUAUUUGGAUGAAUUAACUCUUGUCAAUCUUUGAGUGAACUCUCUUGGUUUAAACAGCUUAAGUUACUAGCUUGAUCGAACAAGGGAAAUAUAAG
rnacentral:lncRNA from 1 species